AUAGAAAGAACUUUCCACAAUGAGGCACACAUGUGACACCCCAAGGCUCAUAAACAACAAUUGCUACAGGAUAAACCUAUUUCCAGGGUCUGCAAACUCCUCCCCGCAGCUGGUAGAACCCUGGUUUUCUACGUUGUGAUUCAGACCUUCAGUAAGAUCCUUGGUGUGUUUGAUGUGUUAAAGACCUGUCAGUGAAAACUGCAGCAAUACAGAAGGUGGGAAUAGGAGACCUCUGCAAAAUAAUGACAGAUCUGCUUGGAAAAAUUACCUAAUGGGAUGCACUUGGGCUGUCUGGAUCUAUAUCAAGCCCAUUGCCCUUGAAAACAGCAUCAGCUGCGCCUCCCUGGGAGCAAGUGGAGUCUCUCAGACUACAAAGGAAUCUGGAAGGAUUUGAUAGCUGAGGCUUUUCUUGUCGCAAGAACAAAGGGUAAGUAGCUAUCUCUUUCAGCAGCCUAGAGAGGCUUCUAGCCAAGGCUGAGAGAUUAAGAGAAGCUACCUGGCAGGCAAGUUGGCUUUUAAAGGGAAAAAACAGGCUUUUAAGCUUUUGAGACAAGGGAGAGCUGAGCUGAACGCACAGGGAACAGCGAGCAAAGCAGAGGUGUUUUAUAUGCUCUCCUGGUUGCAAGGGUAAUGGAGUAGGAAAGAAUUGGCAAAACCCCCUUGUUUUUCUUUUUUGGACCCUUGUAGCAUAACAAGUAAAUGUUAUGUAGUACAGGCAUGUUUUAAUUGCUCUUGAUUGCUUCCAACUCACUUGCUGUCUCAGCUAUUUCAGCUGCAAUGAGGAGUUUACCUCUCUAAGUGACCUCAGUUUCCUCUGCUUCCACCUUCAUUAGUACAUAAAUAUUUCAGAGAAGAGCACAAAGCCCAGGUAUCCUACAGCUGCGGGGACGGAUAUAAGCUCAGAAGUGCCUGAGUAACUUUUCCAUAAGCCCAAUUUACUUUGAGCUGUGUGCUGCAAAGUCACUCGGUGCCCUCAGAGCUCAGUGCAGUGAUGUCUGUGCACAAGGUCAGAGGGAGCUGCAGCUCUCAGGGACAGCUGCCUUUG
rnacentral:lncRNA from 1 species